rnacentral:lncRNA from 1 species
CUAGUCAUGUAUUUAUAUAAACCCAAACGGGCUCGGCCCGGUCCGGUCCAUUGUUUAAUUAAUCCAUUUAAUUAAACCCGGUCCGUGAAUUAAUCAAUCCAAUUAAUUAAUUCGGGAAUAUAAAUAACAAAUCCAAUUAAUUAAUUUAUCCAACGAUUGUUAAAUUAAUCAAUUGGGAAUUUGCAACCUAUCAAUUCUCUUUUGUGUGCGACCCAUUAGGUUCCCGACCACGAUGCCUAACGACGUGAAAUAUUAUUUUGAUCUAAUCAAAACUGAUAAAUUAAACACUCUUUUAAUUUAUCACAGAUUCACACUCGUCGUCCCAGAUUGACAUCUAACAAUGUAUCAGGGCAACACAUGUGACGGGAAAUAUCACGUGGUAUGACAAAACCAAAACUGUUCGUUUACCAUGAAAUUAUAAUCCCUUCGUCAAUAUGAUCCGAUCAACUACGAGAUAUGGAAGUGUGUCAAUCUCGAUUAUCGAUCAUAUCUUUCAUUCUUCUAUUAAGUCAAUAUGAGUCGAAAACUCUUUUCGACUUAUAUGUACACCUUGGCCAAGGAUUUCGUUAUUGACUUAAUUGAAUGAAAUGCAGAUCACAAUCUCUUACUAUCUAAGAGUGACGAAUCCUCUAUUGAUCAUUCACAACCUUCAUAUGGUUCUUGACAUACCCGAACGAUGUCGUAUUAGCGGCCCUUGGCAGAGCAACAUCCAACACCGUCAAAAUAUGACUGUCCUCAUAUAAGGUACUAUGAUGACCUCAAGUUGUAGGACCAAUUUCAUUACCGAACGUUAGAGAUUAACCACUGACACUCAGAUAGUUAUCCAUGUGGAAUCUCUUAGCGG